rnacentral:rRNA from 1 species
UACGUAGGGGGCUAGCGUUGUCCGGAUUUAUUGGGCGUAAAGAGCGUGUAGGCGGCCAGGUAGGUCUGCUGUGAAAACUCGAGGCUCAACCUCGAGAUGUCGGCGGAAACCAUCUGGCUAGAGUCCGGAAGAGGAAAGUGGAAUUCCUGGUGUAGCGGUGAAAUGCGCAGAUAUCAGGAGGAACACCGGUGGCGAAGGCGGGCCUCUGGGCCGAUAUUGACGCUGAGGAGCGAAAGCGUGGGGAGCGAACAGG